rnacentral:rRNA from 1 species
AACUUAAAUGAAUUGAGGGGCCCGGCACAAGCAGCGGAGCGUGUGGUUUAAUUCGAUGCUACACGAAGAACCUUACCAGGGUUUGACAUGCAAGUGGUAGGAAACUGAAAGGGGACCGACCUUCGGGGAGCUUGCACAGGUGCUGCAUGGCUGUCGUCAGCUCGUGUCGUGGGAUGUUCGGUUAAGUCCGCUAACGAGCGCAACCCUCACUGUGUGUUAUAUGUGUCACACGGGACUGCCGGUUUUAAGCCGGAGGAAGGUGGGGAUGACGUCAAGUCAGCAUGGCCUUUAUAUCCUGGGCUACACACACGCUACAAUGGUCGGUACAAUAGGUUGCCAAGCCGCGAGGCGGAGCCAAUCCAUAAAAGCCGGCCUCAGUUCAGAUUGUAGGCUGCAACUCGCCUGCAUGAAGAUGGAGUUGCUAGUAACCGCAGGUCAGCAAUACUGCGGUGAAUACGUUCCCGGGUCUU